AGCAACCAGAGGCAGGAAAGGAAAAAUGGGAAGGUUUUCUCAGAGUUAACUUUCUCUAACCUUGAAGCCGAAUCCAGGGGCAGGAGCAGGAGUCAACUCUGAGAAGACGUGAUAGAGCUUCAGCAACAUGGAGAGGAGAUAGCCGGUCUGGCUAGGAUGGAAGAAAUGUACAUGGAGAAGAAAGACAGAAGAACCAUCACUGAGCACUAAACUAAUCAGCCAUAAUGUGCAGAUUGACUGGCAAGCCUAUCACCACCUUGAUAACAGAUGACAUUAAAGAGAAAGUAUCAAUGUGAGGAUUAAAUGGGAUGAAAAAUAAAACAUCUGUCGGAGUGCCUGGAAUAUGAGCCUAGUAGAGCACCCAGCACACAGUAGGCUCUUAAUACAUGCUUGGGAUGAUUGAGGCAUUUUCUUCCACCAUAUUCCAUGAUCUUCUAGCCCUGGGGGUGCAGAGAGAUUACCUGGCCAAGAAGACUAGGGGUAAAGUACUUUUCUUACCUGGUACACAAAUAUCCAAGAUUGGAAAGAAGAAAGAAAAUGACGACAGAAUUUUGCAGUCUACAAGGCAAACACUGCCAUUCAUGUAGUUAUGGAGUUCCUACUAUGUGCAGACAAUGGGAAACUUUACGAAGGAACCUCGACGUAGCCUGUUCCCAAUGCCCUCUGUGGAAUCAGCCAGGUCCAUGCCACAAGUAUGAAUUGUUUCCAGUGCGGCAGUCCUGGGAGUGCCUGAGCCACAAGCCAGUGUCCCCUACUCAGUUGUGCCCUGUGGGGACUGAAGCAGGACUAUAUUCUCACAGGCUCUCCUAAAAGCUGGGCUGCCAGCUUCUAGCUCUACUCCUUUCUCAAAGUGGCCCAGGCCAUCUCUCAGACCAAGGUGGAUGGAGCAGCAUCAGCCAUGGCUCAGGAAUGCAGCCGCCUACUUUCCUGUUAUCAGCAGGCAUUCCUGUGGUUACACUAUUCCUGCUUAGCUUAUCAAUGGCCCUUGGGAACACAGAGUCAGCACCCAAAGAGGGCCAGAACAGCCUGCUUGUUGGACGCCCAUCCACACCAUGAGGCUUUCCUGGAUGUAGAGGGAAGUUACUGUUCCUCGGGAAAACCCCUCUUCCCAGCUGGGUUUUAAAAAGCAGCAGGUUUAAGAGCUGACCAUAUCUGAAAGACUCUAGAAUAGCAGAGGAUUGAUUAAAGGUCUGUGGCCACAGA
rnacentral:lncRNA from 1 species